AAGUGCCAUUCUUAACGGGAUGGCUUUUCUUAAGUGUAAAAAGCUUUUGGAAUAAGAGCUGGGCAAGACCGGUGCCAGCCGCCGCGGUAACACCGGCAGCUCUAGUGGUAGCUGUUUUUAUUGGGCCUAAAGCGUUCGUAGCCGGUUUGAUAAGUCACUGGUGAAAUCCUGUAGCUUAACUGUGGGAAUUGCUGGUGAUACUGUUGAACUUGAGGUCGGGAGAGGUUAGCGGUACUCCCAGGGUANAGGUGAAAUUCUGUAAUCCUGGGAGGACCACCUGUGGCGAAGGCGGCUAACUGGAACGAACCCGACGGUG
rnacentral:rRNA from 1 species